GCCAAUAUAGGCAGACCACGCAGCUGCUAUGGGGCCCGUGGGAGGGGGGGGCCCGGAGUGCAUGGAAGCAAGGGCCGGCUCCCAGCUACCACCAUUCUUCCUUCUCUGCUGCUGGACUGCAUUUAGUUUUACUUUGGAGAAAGGGACAGCACAGUACCGUGCAGGGAUUGUUCCUUUCUCCAAAGUAAACUUUACCGAUCUGACAUGAGCAGACAGCUCCCCCCCCCUCCUCCUCUCUGCAGUGUGAUAUUCCUUCAUGUGUGAGGAGGGGGCGGAGCCAGAGGAGCCGAGGCAGCAGCAGGAGAUAAUGGAGACCCUGCACCUUCUGACCUCCGGUGUCACUGUGCCUCCAGUAUAAAGUUCAGUCCCUCACCGGUCCUCCUACACAGCAACAAUGGGACUAUGUUGGAGAAGGGGUACGAUGACCUAAAAUGCCGUCUUGAGAAGCAGGCCAUAGUGCGUAGAUAGGCACGCCGGCUGUGGCACCUGCAUGGAAAAAUACACUCCAAAAAUGCAAUGCUAAAAAAAUGGUCAGACCUUAAACGGCAUCACAUGGAUCUGAUCAAAGAGGUCAGAGAUAAAAACUGUCCAGGGGUGCCUCUUCCUAAAGUGCGCCCUAAGCGCUCUAACAAGAAGGUGAUGGUGGAAGAGAAGGAGAUGACGGAGGAUGAGGAGCAGGAAGAGGAGCAGGCAGGACCAUCAGGGCAUCAGGC